rnacentral:rRNA from 1 species
AUACGUAGGGGGCAAGCGUUAUCCGGAAUCACUGGGUGUAAAGGGUGCGUAGGCGGUAGGGCAAGUCAGAUGUGAAAGCCCGGAGCUCAACUCCGGGAUUGCAUUUGAAACUGUUCUACUAGAGUGCAGGAGAGGAAAGCGGAAUUCCUAGUGUAGCGGUGAAAUGCGUAGAUAUUAGGAAGAACACCAGUGGCGAAGGCGGCUUUCUGGACUGUAACUGACGCUGAGGCACGAAAGCGUGGGGAGCGAACAGGAUUAGAUACCCUGGUAGUCCACGCCGUAAACGAUGAGUGCUAGGUGUCGGGGCCGACAGGUCUCGGUGCUGAAGUCAACGCAUUAAGCACUCCACCUGGGGAGUACGAUCGCAAGAUUGAA